UACGUAGGUGGCAAGCGUUAUCCGGAUUUAUUGGGCGUAAAGCGAGCGCAGGCGGUUGCUUAGGUCUGAUGUGAAAGCCUUCGGCUUAACCGAAGAAGUGCAUCGGAAACCGGGCGACUGGAGUGCAGGAGAGGUGAGCGGAAUUCCUAGUGUAGCGGUGAAAUGCGUAGAUAUUAGGAGGAACACCAGUGGCGAAGGCGGCUCACUGGACUGUAACUGACGUUGAGGCUCGAAAGCGUGGGGAGCAAACAGG
rnacentral:rRNA from 1 species